CACACAUUUUUCGGCACUUGUGUCAGGGGUUAUUUAUUUCUCUCAACCACUGCCCCCUUUUUCGCUGCAUUCCACCCCCUCCUCCCGCUAGCCGGCCGCCUUUCUGCUCCUGUGCCACGCCCACGCACACCUGAAGGAUCACUUACACUCGCCGCCACAACACAGAGCCUCACGCACACGAAAAGGACGAGGAGGCCGGCAUUGAUCGAUAGUGCUGCAGAUGGACUUCGCAGCCUAUCAGCCAGCCACUCCACCGAGGAGCUCGGAACCGCCGCCCCCGCGCAGCGGGGGCGGCUUCCCGCGCUUUCAGCGCUCACGUGCAGCGGACAUUACAGCUACGACUGCCUCGCCGCCGCCUCCUCUGCCGUCGUCGCAGGCCCCGCCAGAGUCGCCGCAGCGCCACCUCAACCCCUCUUCCGGGCCAGAGGGGUUGGCUGCCGCGAGCAGAACACCCGACAGGAAGCGAUCGCACGGCGAUCAGCAGCGGCAUCAGAAUGCGCCAGCGGAAGAAGGCACCCACUACGCGUCUGUCCAGAGCAACAAUACGAAUGCCAUGAUCCCAGCAGGACUGACGGAGGCCGCCGUGCAGCGCGCCUUGGGCAACAGCUGUGCUCUGGCAUCUUCGCCAUCACCGGCAACUGCCGGUGGGGCAGUCGCAGGAGGAAGCGGGCGCGCGGGUGGUAUCAUCAUGCCGACGCGCAAAGAGGGCAGCGACUCCGCCUCCAUGUACAGCAUGGCGCGGUCCGUGCUGCCAAUGGACCCGCGUGAGCGCAUAUACUACCGUCCCCUGCGCCGUUUGCUGCAGUGUUACCUGGAGCGGCGCAAGCGCAAGGGCCUCGGAAUCGCGUCGCUGCUGCCCGGCCGCCACCAAUCGUUCCAGUUUUUCCUCGAGCACACAGGCGACUUUGUACUAGCGGCUGUCCUGCGCAGCUUCAAGACACGUACAAUGGUUGAGGAUACGUCGAGCGGGGUUGGCGGGCAGUUGUACCCCGUCUCGCGAGGCGGUGCCAGCAUUGUGUUCACCAUCAAUCAGCAGCAGCUGGACAGUGACACGCGCGGCUUUGUGGGCAAGCUAUCGCGGCGCGGAAAGGGGAUGGAGAUGGUGCUGUUUAGCGAGGGCAGCAAGGCUGCCCGGAAGGAGAUUCUUGCGGUGCUGCUGCACAACUUGGCCGACACAAACCGGUCGUCGUUCACGGUACUGCUGCCGGCCAUUAACCCGGAGUCUGGGUACAUCAAGCCGCUGGAGGGCGGUGAGGUCGAAUUCCUGCGCGACGGCCGCGGCAGCAGCCACGUCGGCAUCGACGAGGCGAUGGCGAACUCCUCUGAUGACGACGUCGACGCGGCUUACUCGACGAUGUCGAGGGCGACACCAAACUUUACGGCCGUGUGCGACUCUGCUGGGGCGAACCGUGCGCCGGCGCCGAGCAGCAGCGAAACAGCUGGCCGGCAGAAAAAGUGGUUCUCGCACGGAGUGCUGGUUCGCGAGUACCGGAGAAACCCAGGCAGCCCAAACAUCAUUGUCCUCAAGAGCAAGGAGCCUCAGUGGGAUGGCGUGCUGCGCGGGUACAAACUCGAUUUCCACGGACGCUCCACGAAGGCGAGUGAGAAGAACUUUCAGCUCGUCGCUGUCUCUGAUCCGGGGAAGGUGGUCAUGCUCUUCGGCAAGCAGGACGACAACCGUUUUGCCCUCGACUUCCGCUACCCGCUGUGCGGUCUGCAAGCAGCCGCGAUCGCCACUACGAUCAUGACGGCUCGAAAGGCGAUCCUGUGAGUGCUCGUGCGUGCGUGUGCGCGUGCUACGGUGGUGGGAUGGAAGGACAGACAAACGAACGAAAUAGUAACUUGAAAAAUCACGCCAACAUCUGGAGACUUUGGUGCUGAUCGCUGCUCUCUCGUGUGCAUGUGUUUGGUUGGUGGCCGGAACGCACGCGUCGCUGCACUUUUCGUGUUUCUGCUUCCUCACUUGAUGUCUCUGCAGCUGCAUGUCCUAUUCGUUUUUCUUUUCUGCCCUUGUCCUUGCAGUGCUUCGUGCGCUUUCCACCUCGACUCUAAGCCGAGGAUACGUUGCGUAUCUGUUGGUGUGCUCCGUCUUUCCACUCCGGCUCCUCCUCUUCAUGUGUGGAAUGAACUGCGUGCUGAGACUUGUGCGCGUGUACGCGCCUACGUCUGCGCCUCUCUCGGCGUUCGUGAGUGUGUGUGUGUGUGUCUGUCUUUCAGUGUUCGUCCGUCUGCCAGUGAAGGCGCGUCAUCGCUUCAUCUCCCCAGCGCAUGAGCGAGUUGGUCGCGUGUGCUGCUAUGACGCUGCAGAGGAUCAUCGACCGUUCCGCGGUGUUCUCUUUUUGGGGGGGGGUGCGCGUGCAGGCAAGCGUGUGUGUUGGGUCGUCUGCUCUUUCCUUUUUUUGUUCUCCUUUUUCAAUAUUUCGUUGGCCUCUUGUUUAUAUCGUUCAGGCUCGCGUCUGUUGAUCUGUUAUCCGUGCGUGUAUGUGUGUAUGCGUGUGCUCACCCUCCCCUCCUUCUGUGUGCAUAUCGGCAUGUAGCGGUACAUGAAUGCCAAAAUUAUAUAUGCAUAGAUCUGUGUACAUGUGUGUGUGCGUGUAUAAGUGUUCGUGCGUCUGUGAAUGUGCUUGAUUUUGUGGCUUCGUGCCGUGUCUUUUGCCCAUCUCUUUUCGUUGUUGUGACGCUGAUUGUCUCCAUCUGCACUACGUCGUUGUGCGUGUGCUCGUUACCGGUCUUUUCGUGCGGCGCUGAUGUUUUCUUCUUGGCGUUGCUCCUUUGCCAUUCUCUUUCCACGCCCAUCCUCUUCCCUUCUCUUGGCUCACCCAACCGCCGCCGCCGCUGCCCUGUGCUGUCGGCCCUCGCCGCGCUUCCGCGUCGCGCUGCCUUCCGGGGAUCGGGGUGUUUCCUUUCUUUUCUGAUUUUUUUGUUUUCCCCCGAUCAGCGCCUCUCUUCAUCCGUUUGUGGGUGCGGGGGAAGGGUGCGCGCUCCUCUACCGUUUUCCGUUCUGUUUUGUGUUGUACCCCCCUCUCGGUGUGAAACUGGCGCCCUUUCCUCUCUCUUAUGUGGGUGCACACGCGUGAUACGGUACUCUCUCCUAGCCUCCUCGUCGCCCCGCUGUUCUCCAGAGGCCCUCUUUUCUAGCCCUGCGGCAGCGCCUGAAAUCUGCGCGCUCGGCAGCGGCCGCCAACCAAACACGUGUGUGAGGAUCACGGUAGUAGGGAUGCGGAGCGAGCAGGGGUGGGGGACGGUGAGCGGUGAUGGUGUCGGGAACCCACUCCUCCUCCAGUUGUUUUGCAUUGCUCUCCCUAUUUUUUUUUCUAUGGCGCCCUUUUUGUUGACAUCCGCCGCUCAUUGCCGUGUUGCUGUUCUUCGCAUCUGCCGUGCUCUUGUGGUGCGUUGCUUGAGUUGUUGCCCCUCUGUGCUUCUCCCUCUCGCCAUUGCACCGUUGGUGUGCGUGUACAGCUACAUCUGUGUUGCUUGUGUGUGUGUGUGCGUGUCCGUGCCGAUGUCCCUUCCAGGAUCCGCAUGCAUCACACACGAUCCGGCUUCUCCCUUGCCCCCCUCCCCUACACACACACACACACACACACAAAGGCGACAUCACCCAGAGACACAGAAGCGAAGAUUGUACCGCUGCGGAAUGCACAGUCAGCACCUUAUCCGCGCACACCGGCAAACACAAAGGGAGGGACGCAAGUGAAGAGGAAACGAGCAGCGGCGUCGUUGCAGCUGCACUCGCUAUUCGCCGAAACUCCAUGCUAGCCCGAGCCUGGCUGUCUUGGGCGAACGGCCUAUGCUCCAUUCGUCCCCGCGCACAUUGCCCGUCAGAUGGUCUCUGGCGGCAUCGCUGAGGCGACACGGGGUUGGUGUAGUGGCGCAGUGCCCGUAAAUCUUCACCUGCUUCCAAUUGCACACGUCGACGCUGCGUGCCAAGCCUUCCUGUCGAUAAGGAAGGGCAGUUCCUGCCGUGAUCCCCAGCUGACGAGGCGAUGCCUCGCUGAACCUCCUCCGCCCACUCCCUCUUACUGUUCGCGCCAUUGCCGCCACCUUAUCACCUUGUUGCUCCGCGUGUUGCGCCUGCAUUGGUUGGUCUCCUCACUGCCGCUUAUUGUUGCCGAAACCCACCGCCAUGUACAUGGGUCAACUUGACACGACUGGAG
rnacentral:misc_RNA from 1 species